ensembl:lncRNA
AGUGAAUAAACAGGCGUGUGCGCGGGCCUGCGUCGAGGGCGCUGAAAUUCUCCGCUCAGAUACUCAAGGACCUGCCUCCAGCUGCGAGCGCACUUCGACGUGCAUACCGCCUGUUUGACGAAGCUGGCAUCGUUCCAUCCUGUAACCGGACGUACGAGGUAAAAAACUAAAUCUAAGUCAUGUUUGGAGCCAGGUUUAAAUGUGUGCUUUUAUUUUGUGACAUUUUGGGAACAAGGAUUUGCUCAGAGGAUUUUGGAUGUGGUUGAGUUUUUGAACAAACUAGUUAUUAAUGGAAACAUCUGUAGGAGCGACUAAAGCGCAGAUGUUAAAGUUUAGUCCCUUUGUUCCUCCCGUCUUUAUCCGCUGCUGUCUCCCACAAAGGAAAUGACCAUAUUUGGAUUACAGCCUUUCGUGCUACACAUGGAUACCAAACAUGUCAGUAUUUGUGAAUGAAUAAGCGUGAGAAAGACCGGAGAGCCACACAGACAUGUUGGAGUCACUUCCUGGAUCAAUCUCAGAGAAUAAACAUCGUAAAGAGAGAGUUUGUUUUUUUACUCUGACAGAGUUAAACUUGACACAAAACUUAACUGUGAUCAUUGCAGGAUUCUGGAUGUUUCACCUGCAGCGUCUCUUACUUCUGUUAAAGGUGGAGCAGCUGCGUAAAGUCGUGUCUCCGCUGUUUGGGAACCACCACGAGAUCCAGUGUUUCACCGACGAACAGGGCCGGGAGCUGUGGUUCCAGCUGAAGGUCUCUCUUUUCUCCAACGGGACCGCGGGCUGUGGACACCCGGACCUCAACUGGGCCCCCGCGCCGCGCAAAACCCACCCCUGCCCCCCCGCGGUGCCCCUGUACUACCUGCCAUCGACCACAGGACGCCCCCGCGGCCCUGCCAGGACUGAACCAGGACUGAAGAAUCAUCUUGGAGCUUAUAUGAUAUUUUACAUUUUAUGAUUUAAAAUAAUGUCUCUGUUAAGAAUUAAACUGAAACAGGUCUCACAGAAUAAGACUUACCUGGAGCGCCUCCUGCUGGCCAAUGUAGGAAUUAUUAUUAUUAUUAAAAAACUACCUUCAGUUUGAAUUCACUUCAGCUCGAUAAACACACUUACAGAUAAAACAGUUGUGGCUUUAAACAAUGACGCGAUUGUGUUGAGGAAGAACAGAACGAAGCACCGACGUCGUAGAAGAAGAAACCCCCACCUGAACUGAGCACAUUUUCUCCUGUUCGGCUUUACACAAAUCUAAAAAAGUGUCAAAAUAGCAACGAAAAUGAGACGUAAACGAGGAUGAAAGCGUAACACAAAAAUGACAAAAAAGCGACAGAAAAAUAAAAAAAGUAACAAAAUAAAACACAGAAAUGACCAAAAAAUUACUAAAAAUUACAUUAAAGAAUACUACAAAACGACACAAAAUUACACAAAAGCAACACAAAGAGAAACAAUUUAUUAUUAUUUUUUUUUUUUACAAAAACUUGACCAAAAAAGCAACACAUUUUUUUUCUAAAAUACCACGAAAAAGUGACGACAACACGAGAAAAAUUGUAGAUCACUUUUGUCGUCUUAGCUUUCAAAUCAGAUAUUACCCUGGCCAAUAGGCUGUAAACGCCAGUCAAGAAGCUUUUAGAUUUGGGUGAAGCUGAACUGGAGGAAAGGCGGGGCUUAAGAGGUUAAACAGGAUGAAACUGCCGUGAAUGUAGUAAAUGUAGUAAACAACGUUAGAACCUGUGAAAUGUCCAGUUUAACAAGUGAAAACCUGCUCAGAUUUGUUGUGUUUGUGGCAUUAAA